CAGGGUAUCCAAGGAUUUCCUGGGGCUCCAGCAAUGGGAGUGGUGGGACCCACAGGCAAGAAAGGUUCCAGGGGAGAUAUUGGGCCAGUGGGUCCUUCAGGUCCAAAAGGAGAACAAGGAAAACAAGGAGAAAAAGGAGAGAAGGGAAGUCCCGGGUUUGGCAUUCCAGGUCAACUGGGAUUGAAAGGGGAACCAGGAGAGAGGGGCAAUGUUGGUUUAUCUGGGAAACCUGGGCAAAAGG